rnacentral:rRNA from 1 species
GUACGGCCGCAAGGUUAAAACUCAAAUGAAUUGACGGGGGCCCGCACAAGCGGUGGAGCAUGUGGUUUAAUUCGAUGCAACGCGAAGAACCUUACCUGGUCUUGACAUCCACGGAAGUUUUCAGAGAUGAGAAUGUGCCUUCGGGAACCGUGAGACAGGUGCUGCAUGGCUGUCGUCAGCUCGUGUUGUGAAAUGUUGGGUUAAGUCCCGCAACGAGCGCAACCCUUAUCCUUUGUUGCCAGCGGUCCGGCCGGGAACUCAAAGGAGACUGCCAGUGAUAAACUGGAGGAAGGUGGGGAUGACGUCAAGUCAUCAUGGCCCUUACGACCAGGGCUACACACGUGCUACAAUGGCGCAUACAAAGAGAAGCGACCUCGCGAGAGCAAGCGGACCUCAUAAAGUGCGUCGUAGUCCGGAUUGGAGUCUGCAACUCGACUCCAUGAAGUCGGAAUCGCUAGUAAUCGUGGAUCAGAAUGCCACGGUGAAUACGUUCCCGGGCCUUGUACACACCGCCCGUCACACCAUGGGAGUGGGUUGCAAAAGAAGUAGGUAGCUUAACCUUCGGGAGGGCGCUUACCACUUUGUGAUUCAUGACUGGGGUGAAGUCGUAACAAGGUAACCGUAGGGGAACCUGCGGUUGGAUCACCUCCUUA